AUUGUGGAUCGCUUUCUGUGCAUUUGUGAAUUGCUGCACUCAUUUGUGGAUCGCGUUCUGUGCAUUUGUGGAUUUGAAACAUUUCUAACAUCAAGAUGUGCACAAGAAUCCACAAAUAGGUGGACUCCGCCCACGUCUACUCCAGCCAAUCAGACAACAAGCACACUGUGCUGACCAAUCGUGGCACGAUCUCCCUUCAACCAAUCACAGAGUCUUUUCUAGAAACAUUGUGCAAAAGACCCAGACGGAGGAGGACUUUUAUUAUGACAGCGAGUAUCGCUCACUCAAAGCAAUGGCGGAAGAGCGCUAGUUUUGUACAAGUGUCUCGCUGUUUGAGGCAUGAAUCGUGUUGUUGGCGAUACAUACAUGGAGAGUUACGCGGUGUGUUCAUGUGCGUCAUUAAAGAAACCACAUCUCCACCUGCCUAUGAUCUGGCUAAGCUCUCAAAUAUAGCCAGGCACUCAUGCAUCUCCAUUCACAUGCCAUGCAACCAAGCUCAUAAAUACAGCUCUGGCCUAUCUCUCUUAAAGGAGCAUACCCUCAUCCUGUGCAGAGCUUCAUUAAAGGACUUCUACCAAUAUUCACCAUUACCUUCAUCAACGACUGCUCUGCUAUCCAAGUUGUGCCUCUCAUUCAGAGUUCUGUGCGGAAUGGGGUGCAUUCAGCUGAUGUAGAUGUUUGCCUAAAAGGGAUAUGACAGACGCUACAUAUCAUUUCAUGUGAUUUUUAUAUGUUUUACGACUUGCAUCUUUACUUGACCAGGUGUUACAGAUGAUCAACAAAAUGCCAUCUGGAAGGUCCUGAGCGGGGAAUUCUCUGAAGUAAAGGAUGAAUUUGUGUUCAUAUUUCAAGUUCAAGAGGAUAUUGAAUUUUUUUGUCAUACUGUGUUAAUGAACAAGGCCUGAAGGUCAAUGCCAUGUUUCUCAAUCAGCAAUUGCAGUAGACA